rnacentral:lncRNA from 1 species
UAUAUUACUUUGACACCAUCCAUGAAACUCCACUUAUAUUAUCAUAUAUGUAACUAAUUAUCUAAAAGUAUAUUAUUUAUAUCCAUAAAAAAUGAAGAACGAGUAGAAUGUCUGAAGUGUUGGUAUGGGAGCUGUUCUGCCACCAAUAGGUAGAAAAGUCCCAUUACUCCGGUGUGCUCCUUGGUGCUGUUGUAGUUAGACUCUAGAGUUAAAGUUUCACCAUCAAUAAUCUUGACAGAACCUGGUUUAGGAUAACAAGUGGACAUUCCUACAAUGUAUCCCGCUUCAUUUCCUGCUUCGCUUCCAUUUCCAUAACUUGGUAUAGAGGAACAUAUAACCCUUCCAUCCUGAAAACAUAAUCCACAAAUUUCACAAAACAAGCCACUACACAAUGUUUAACUUCUUGAUCAAAAGUAAAAUUGUUAGAAUAGCAACUCCGGUUCAAAAGUAAACAGAUAUGAAAAACACAAAAAGAGAACAUACGAAAUUCGAUAAUGGCGUUCGGUCAAUUAUGUCUACCGUUUAGUUUAACAUAUUACAACUCGUGUAUAAAUACUAAGGUCAAGUUUACAAGAUAGCCCUUGAACCAUACCCGUGUUAAUAAACUCAACAAAAAGAAACAUUGACGGUCCUCAAUAGCUAAUAAAUCAAACUAUUUUCUUGUUAGCUAAACAUUUCUUACUAUCAAUUGAAAACAAUCACGUGCUAAGACUAAAAAAAAAGGUGAUAAUUUAUAGUUUAUUUUUAGAGGAAGAAUCAUUAUUAGAAAAUGAUAUAUCAGUUAUACAAUUGUUCUCGAGGGGGUUUGAACUCUGUCUCUUGAAGUCACAAUGUCAAAAUAUUCCCAUUGAGCCGACACCAAGCAUUUAAGAAUGACUUAAGUUACCUGUCCAUAUAGAGUUGAUCCAAUUCCGCCUGAAUGUUGAUGAGCAGCACCAUAGAUCAUAUAGCCACCAGUUUGAAAUGGGAGACUUGUCCUCUUCACAUGAACACAGGAAUUUCCCUCCUUAUGGUCUGUGCUGCAAGAUUCAACUUGAUACUCAUUCUGAAACAAAGAAAACCAUGUUGCUCACUAUAUACCCAAAGUUUUAUGUUUUAGAGUUAAAUUGAGAUUUACACAAACAAAGUACGUGUAUGGAUUCCCUGCAGUCGAGAGACUCUACAUUCAUACAAUCAGUAACACAAUAACUGUUGGAUCAAGAUUGACGAUAAUAAAUUCCAUGCCUGCAGUAUUUUGGAUUUUAGAACAAUCGAAAUCUGUAUAUUUUGUGAAUUGUCUGAUCCUGAUCCAACAGUACACUGAUGGAUUGAUUGCGUGAAUGCAGGGCAUCCCAACUACACGGAACCCAUUUCGACAAACAUGUUUCGUAAUGAAUGCAUUUACCUUGCAGUCAUGAUCUGAGUUCAUUCCUUUUGAAUUAUCUGAUAGUUUCAAAGUAUCAGUAACAUCAAGUAUAUAUAUCUUAACAGGCACUAUAAAAUCAUCCCAAUCAACCCAUUUAACAGUGUAUCUUAAGUAGAGGCUUCUCUUUGGACCCUCAAAACCUUCCUUCAACUUGCACUGUUUAGAAUCAUAACAACAUAACAAACCUCCUUUAUAAUCUGGCCUAAUAGACCUUCCAUAUUCAUCCACUGUAACAUUAUAAAGCUCACACUUACACUCAGUGCACCCUAAUUUAUCCUUUGUGCCUCGCGUAUCGAUGGCAUGAACAUUAAGCAACCAUUUUUCGUGAAACCCUUCUGGAAUCUCUUCAGGAUUGCCUAUCUCUAUACCGAAAGGAUCCGGAAUAUCGGUCGCCGUUCCACGUGUUUCGGAUCCAAGGCCAAAGUAUUGUCCAAGAGUAUUUCCUUGACAUAUGCCACUGUUCCUUAUAAGCACAUUAUCAGAGUUUUGUGUUGCAUGUUUACUUUGAUGAUAUCUUACAACAAGCCAAUGAUGGAGAUAAGUUUCAUGGAGAGGUACAGGAUUCCCUGAUUCGUCAACUACUUCAGCAUUGAAACUCUUGAGUGCUACAUGACCUCUUGGAAAACCAAUAUCAUAAUAAUAUCCAUUGACAACUGAUCCAGGUCCUAGCUCAAAUUUCGGGGACAAAAAUACAGCUGAUUUUAUCUUAGCUUCAGUCUUCAUAGAAGAACCUGAGCAUUGUAUACAUAACAACAGCAGAAACAUUGCCCAUAAUAAUACCAAAUCUCUAGCUACAAAACUCAUGUUGAUCUGUCAGGGAAGAAAUUAUUAGUUAUUAACUAACUAAUUGUUGAUUAAAGACAUACCAAAACAAGAUAAAUAAGCAUGGUUGGAUCUAACACAAAACUGAUUUGUGGAGUGAGGAGUGUCUCUCUUUAUAAACUCUAUUCGUUAGACGUUAUCUUUAGUCUAUCUAUGUGGGACUUGGUUUUUCCAAAACACUGAGUGACCCGAAUCGAUAUGCUCUGAUUUCAUAUUAGAUUUUUAUAUUAGACUUCAUUCAUCCUUACAAAAUCGGUUUAUGAAGUGGGGUGUAAGUCUUUUAUAAACUACUAAAAUCUAAAUUAAUGUUAUGAAUGAAUACAAUUGUGGUGGUCACAGAACAAUUUUAAAACAUUAAUUAUAACAUAAACUUAUGAGCAGACAACUUUUUAUGAUGAAAGUAAAAAGGUUUACCUGGAUAAAUUUAUAGGGAUAUAACAAGCAAUAGGCAGAAACAACAUGUAAGAGAUUGCGUACCUCAAAAAGUUUGACGAAAACUUAGAGUGUGUGUAGGUCGGUAUCAACAUUCAAAGUAUAUUUAUAGAUUAUUAAUGAAUGAAAGUGUACUAAAGAGCCACCUCAUCACGUGAGAACGUUCAACUAAAUCUGUCCUUUCAAACUUGGAGGAGAAGUAAAGUCCAAACGAGGUAUUUGGAUUAAAUUAUUUGUCUGUUUUGUUAUUUCUUCAAUUGGAUAUGCGUUGGAAAAUCUAUGGUCGACAACUUAAGGCAUUCACCACCUAGUCGACACACUUGUUAUGGUUUGGCUAUAGCCGGCCACUCUAGAAUUUAAAAAAAAGAAAAAUGAGAAAUUUCUUUUUUGACGAUUGAAAUUAGUUGUUAAUAUGUUUAGCGAUUGAAAUUGUGAUUGAUAUUUCAAACAUUAAAGUAUAAGAUAUUAAAAAUUGGUCGCUACUUACUGACAAUGUAUACAUUAUACGGUCUAAAAAUUCAAUUUUGAUAUUUUUAUUCAAAAUAGUCUAUCCUAAAAUUAUAAAUUAUACAAUUUAAUUCCAACAAUCACAAUGAUCGCAAAUUUCUAAAAUUAUUAGAAGGGAGUUUUUUUUUUUUAUUUAUUUAAGGACUAGAAGGGAGUUUAUUUCUAGAGUUUAGAGCAUAUAUGAUAUCGAUUAUUAUGAUAAAAUAUAUGUAUUUUAUAUAGCAUUUCCUCUCAAAUGAAAAAACAGAAGAUACAUCAAGAUCACGAAACUUUAAUUCAUCGUUUAAUCUUAAAAUUUAGUAUUUCUACAAGUAUAUUUAAAACAAAAUUUAGAAGAAGAAACUCUAUUAAAAUUUUAGAUAAUUCAACGAGUUUAAAUUAAAGAAUAAGAAUUUAAAUAUGUUGGGUUCAAAUCUGAACAAAAUAAUAAAUAUUAAUAUAACAACUAAUUAUCAAUACAACCUUAACAAAAUAGAAAUUUUUGAGAGAAACUUUAACAAGUUUUUUUUUUUUUUUUUUGACAAAACUUUAACAAUACGGAUUAAACACGGAAACCAAAUACGGAUAAUUAUAGGUAAAUUUAUAAAUGCCCUAUAAAAUAAUUUGAAACAUCCAAAUACGGAUUAAACACGGAAACCAAAUUCUAUGUAUUAUGUUGUCACUUUUAUAUGCUGGGUCAGCCAUGACGUUUUAGAGCGACAACUACAAGGAGGUAGACAAUUUUGUUAGGAAAUAAAAACAAUAUUUUGAAAAGGACAAUAAAUCGAAUCAUCAACAUUUUCCAGGGUACAAAAAUCAAAUAGAAGUGAGAAAGUCAGAGGCACAAUUGGACCAGAGAUGAAUACUAUUGAAAAACAUCAAAACAUACCAAAAGUAUAACAUAACUUAUUUGAAUAAUAUAUCUGUCAAAAGUUCUUUUCAACUUCUAAUUAUAAAAAGUACUAUAUAAGAUAAUUUGGUGAAUGAAAUCCCUCAAAUGAAAAAUAGAGAACAAAAAAAGUAUGUUUGAAGUCAAACUUAAUUUGUUUUACAUUUUUCAUUUUCAAAGACAAAAACAACUUAUAAUUAAAAAAAAGUGUCACGCUAACUUGUGUUUUCAAGAUUACAUUUCUACUUUAAUUUUUUUUUUUUUUUUUUUGACAAAAUGUUUAAUUUUUUAUCAUGUAUCUUUAAGGUACAAGUUAUGCCUUCCGGCACAAGUUACCAUUUACUUUAAAAUAAAUGUCCUCAAAUACAAGAUGCGAGGAAAAUCUAACAGAUUUAAGCUGACUAAGCAAAAAAACAAAUUACGAAAACAAAGCAUCCCAACGAUUACUACGUUCAUUGUAGCACGCAAUCACUUUAACAAAUUGUGCCAUUCUCCAAUCACACAUACAAGACUCAACCUACAUAAUUAUGCAGAUCACUCUAAUGAGAGACCCUGCACAAAUCCUUUCCCAAAAACUUGCAGCCACACUUAAAUAAUUAAACCUUGCACCAAUUACAUAAAUGAAAGUACAUUAGGUUAUGAAAAAGUACUUCUGUUUUAAAUGCAAUUUGUCUACUUCAAACUACACUUAGAAAAUUCACUUUUUCUAAUCUCAUUAGGAUAUGAAAAUUGCAUAAAUUAUGUUGGCUUAAAUGUACUUUUGGUCACCCAAAUUCACUUUUUUUUUUUUUUUUUCUGAAUUUUUCAUCCUCAUAGCAUUUUUGGAUUUAGGUUUGUGGUCUAUCCAUUAAUGACGUGGUAGAGCUUAUAUGGCCCCAUUAAACAUCCAUACUGAUACCAUAAAAAAAGGACCUAAGCAAAAAUAACCUAAAGCAAUGUAUUGUGGCAAAAUUGGUUACUGUUGACGUAUGUUUUCGUAAGCAUAGCUUUCCCUUUCAAGCCAAAUGGAGCUUCUUCAUCAGCUCACAAUUAGGACUCUAAUCAGAUACAUUUCAUACUAAAUGGAAGUCCCUUUUGCAUUACAAUUGCAAUGAAGCAGGUACAUGGUAGAACAAACUUCUCACAUUAUCACAUAGCUAGCUGAAUAGAGAGAAGUGUAAGUAUUCGGUUGCCCUUAACAAUUAAUCACUCAUAUUUUACUUUGAUACCAUCAAUGACACGCCAUUUAUAUUAUGAUUUAAGUAACUAAUUAUCUAAAAGUAUAUUAUUUGUCCAUAAAAAAUGAAGAACGAGUAGAAUGUUCUGCCACCAAUAGGUAGAAAAAUCCCAUUACACCAGUGUGUUCUUGGCUAUUGUUGUAGUUAGACUCUAGAGUUAAAGUUUCACCAUCAAUAAUCUUGAUUGAACCUGGUUUAGGAUAACAUGUGGACAUUCCUACAAUGUAUCCCACUUCAUUUCCUGCUUCGCUUCCAUUUCCAUAACUUGGUUUGGAAGAACAUAUAACCCUCCCAUCCUGAAAACAUAAUCCAUCAAUUUCACAAAACAAGUUAUUGAUCUAUUAUACCAUGUUUAACUUCUUAAACAAACCAGUAUACAAUGAAAACAAGCACCGAUAGUCCUCAACUGCUAAUUAUUCACACCAUUUACUUGUUAAUUAAACAUUUGCUAACCUCAAUCGAAAACUAUUACAUGAACAAAUAGAAGGGAUUAUAUAUAAUCACAAAGUAGUGUUGUCUCGGAGUCCGACUAUACAUCUUUAAUCUCAAGUGUCGGUACUUCCAAGUAUUUAAGAAUUAGUAUAAUCUAUCUUUAACUAUUGGAAAUUACCUGUCCAUAUAGGGUGGAUCCAAUUCCACCUGAAUGCUGAUGUGCAACACCAUAGAUCACAUAUCCACCAGUUUGAAAUGGGAGACUUGUCCUCUUCACAUGAACACACCCAUUUUCCUCCCUAUGGUCUGUGCUGCAAGAUUCAACUUGAUACUCAAUCUGAAACAAAGAAAUCCAUGUUGCUCACUAUGAUACCCAACAAUGGGCUAGUGUUACAUUUAAGAGUUAAAUCGAGAUUGAGACAAAUAAAUUACUAAUUUGGAUUCCUAGCAGCCGAGAGACUCUACAUUCACGCAAUCAGCACAGACUGUUGGACCAAAGAUCAGAAGGUCCUAGAUUUCAAGCUCGGUAUUUUGGAUUUUAAUCAAAAUAAUCAAUAUUCGUAUAUUUUGUGAACUGACUGGUCUUGAUCCAACAUUCAUUGAUGCAUUGACUGUGUGUUUCUUGAUGAAUUCAUUUACCUUGCAAUCAUGAUCAAAGUUCGUUCCUUUUGAGUUAUCUGAUUGUUUCAUACUAUCGGUAACAUCAAUUACAUAUAUCUUAAGAGGCACUAUAAAAUCAUCCCAAUCAACCCAUUUAACAGUGUAUCUUAAGUAGAGGCUUCUCUUUGGACCCUCAAAACCUUCCUUCAACUUGCACUGUGUACAAUCAUAACAACAUAACCAACCUCCUUUAUAAUCUGGCCUUAUAGACCUUCCAUAUUCAUCCACCGUAACAUUAUAAAGCUCGCACUUACACUCAGUGCACCCUAACUUAUCCUCUACGCCACGUGUAUCAAUGGCAUGAACAUUAAGCACCCAUUUAUCCUCGGACCCUUCUGAAACCUCUGCAGGAUUACCUAUCUCUAUACCAAAAGGAUCCGGAAUAUCUGUUGCUGUUCCUCGUGUUUCGGAUCCAAUGCCAAAGUAUUGUCCAAGAGUAUUUCCCUGACAUAUGCCACUGUUCCUCACUUUCACAAUAUUAGAACUUUGAAGCAUCCUUUUGCCAUCAUUUCUUGUGUGUGUGACAUGUUUACUUUGAUGAUAUCUUCCAACACCCCAAUGAUGGAGAUAAGUUUCAUGGAGAGGUAUAGGAUUACCAACUUCAUCAACUACUUCAGCAUUGAAACUCUUGAGUGCAAUAUGACCUCUUGGAAAAUCAAUAUCAUAAUAUUCUUUAUUGAUAACUGAUCCAGGUCCUAACUCGAAUUUUGGGGACAAAAAUACAGCUGAUUUUAUUUUAUUUUCAGCAUUCAAAAAAGAACUUAAGCAUGGUGAGCCAAACAAUAGCAGAAGUAUUGCCACUGAAAAAUGAAACUCUCUAGGUACAAACCACAUGUUGAUCUGCCAGAAAAAUAUUUAUUAGUGAUUCACUAAAUGUUGAUUAAAGAAAUAUUAAAUAGAUACAGAUUGCAACAAUUGUAUUAUUUUCAUAAAAUUUUCUGACAAGAUACUUCAAGAGAAGGCAAUCAGAGAUGAGUAUAAUGAUCAACAGGUAAAUCUAGAGGUAGAAAAUAAAUCACAAAGAGACGUUAAAAAAUUUAAUGUUUUGACUGCUGUUUGCAAAGAAUAUUUUUAAAACCUUAAUUAUGACAUAAACUUAUGACCAAACAUGUUUUGACCAAACAUUUUUUCUUUUUUUUUGAAGGAACCAAACAUGUUUUUUAGAAACAUGAAAUUGGCAGCAGGAGCAUGUAAAAGAAAAGAACAUGAAAUUAAGUUGUGUACCUCAGAAAGAUAAUCUGGAAACGACUCUUAAGUUCUUUGAAGUAUGUUGUAGUCUUUGUGGCUUAAGUUCUAUCUUAAGCAUUUCUUUUUUAUUUUUUUGCUAAUCUAUCUUAAGCAUUUCUUGUUCUUAAUAGAUAGUAUUAAUAUAUUUAUUUCUUUGCCUCUUCAAAAAAAGUAUGCUGUCGUUUUUAUGUGCUGGGUCAGCCAUGAUGUAUUACAGCAACAUUUUUUAGUUUAUCUUGGAGGUAGGUAAGUCAAAGUGAGGUUUAUCUAACUUAACCUUGGUUAUAACCGGUUAUGUCAUUUGUCUUAGAGUUUCAGAGUUGAAUUUUUAAGCAAGGACAAAAGUUAUGGUGCAUAAGCCAUUUCCUUCUGCACAGUUCAUAAACACUUCACAACCAUCAGAUUUCUUUUAUUUUGUGUUUGUCAUUUCUCUCUCUACUCUUUUGAAAAACAAAUUUUCUCUCACUCUCUCUAAGAAACUGAUCUGGGAUGAAGUUUCAUCUUCUACACACCUCCGGCCGCCCUAGGGCAGCGGUGGCGCCGCCGGAGUAUUAGGAAAUGGCUCCGAUUUCAAAAAAAAAUUCACUUUUAAAAAUCAUUUUCCUUCUAUAAUCCAACUUCAGACUCGGUUUUCAGAGAUAAACAACCAAACAGUGUAGAUCUAGGUUUUAACUUUGUUCCCAUUCCUUUCGUUUGCGUUCGAUUUCCUUCUUCUUCUGCUCCUUCGCCGCCGCUUUCUUAUAUGCUUUCUUUGCUUCCCAUCUCUGCUGUCUCGCUAGCUACUUCUUCGUGUUCUUGGGGAGUUCUGAAGUGGGUUGUGAUGGUUCUGGGUUUGGAGGUGGAACUGUGGAUUCGGGUUCGUGAUUUUCACCAUAACUGCACGAAUUUCCGCACCCAUGGGCGGGAUUUACUGCUGGAAACCAUUAAGUACAUCUAAUAGUUUUGGAGUACAACUGCCGGAAACCAUUAAGUAGAUCUAAUGGUUUUCCACGGCAAAAUGGUUUUGGCAUUCCGGUACGGUGAUGCUAACAGUGAUGAUGAUGAACGACGGUGUUGAUGAUGAGAUUUAAGAUUCUGGAAACCAUUUCCACAACAAAAUGGGUUUGUAGUACAACUCACAGAAACCAUUUACACAGCAAAAUGGUUUUGGCAUUCCGGUACGGUGAUGAUGAUCAAUGACGGUGUUGAUGAUGAGAUUGAAGAUUCCAGUGGUGAUGAUGAUGAACGACGGUGAUAAUUCAGUUUGUUUUCACGUUUUGUUUGUUUUGUUUUGUUUGGUUUUCUUUGGGGGUGUAGGAAACAAUUAUGUUGGGAUUUAUGCACCAUAACCGAUCUCAUUUUUAAGUGGUGAUGGAAAACGUUAUAUUUAUCUUUUUUUUUUUAAAGAAACAAACUCAAUUCAUUUCAUUAUAAAUCAUGGACCAGAUACAUGACAGUACAUCAUUGUAGAGGUGGGAGCUAGCAUUACAUAUGCUAUCUUUGAUAGUUCAUGAGCGACCCUGUUAGCUUGCCUCUGCCUAAACUUGACAUGAGAAUUUAGAAAAUUGUUUUGAAACAAUUGCUUACAGACAUAUAUAAUACAACCGAACUCAGUGACAUCAUUUAUACAUGUUCUAAAGGAAUCAACAACCUUCUUAGAAUCUAACACAAAGUCUACAUUAUCAAACUGAAGGUUUGCCACCCAAUCAAGUGUCGUACAUAAACUCAUUGCUUCACCCGCAUUGACGUCACAAAGCGGGGAGAACCAGGUACUUUUUGCAAGCAUAAAAUUACCCUCUUCGCCUCUAAGACAUUCCAAGUCCUACCUUAUUAAGCGACGAGGAGAACGAGGCAUCUAUUUUUCAUUUAUACCUUCUAGGGGCCGGUUUUACCCAUUGUUACCAAGCUAUAAGAGUCGGCCCAUGUGGAUCAGAACUAGAGGGAGUUACACUACCUAAACGAAUGACUUGUGCAUGUCUCCAUUCAUCCAUCAACUACUUUGCACGCUCUAUAACCUGCACAUUAGUCUCGUUAGUUUGUUGCCAAAGUUUCAGGUUUCUGUGUUCCCAUAGGCUCCAUAGUAUUGCUGCAAAAUUUUCACUCUGUAUUGGAGUAAGUUGUUGCUACAAAGUAAAAAUAACAGAAUUCAUAUUAUAAUCCUGACGAAGCACACGAUCAAUCUUAUCCCAUAAAUUCACGGCAUGCCAAACUUGCACAGCACUCAAGCAUUCCAAUAAAACAUGAAUGAUGUCCUCGUAAUUAUUUCUACAAAUUACACAUUCGGUUGGACAAGACACACCUCUACUACUACGUUGUGCUCGAGUGGGGAAACGAAACAGCCCAGACACACGCCACAAGAGAUUUUUUAUCUUGGGGGGAGAUUUAAUGUUCCAAAUUAAGUCCCAACGACCAGAUUUAUGCAAAUGAAUAUUGUCAACAAUUUCAUUCAUACAUAUUCUGUAAGCACUGCGAACGAAAUACCUACCAUUUUUUCAGCCUUUCCAAACCAAUUUUUCACAGUCAAAUGGGCAGUAUGUUGAUCAAAUAAGUUAUAAAUUAAAAGAGCAUUUCAUACUCUUUGCUGCUCUCUUUCACAUCGUUCACAUUCAAUGGGAAACAUGGUUACUUAUCUAAACAUUUCUCUCUCAAGUUUACUUUACUAUUAUGGUUUUUUGGGAGUUUCUUCGCUGCUCUCUUUCACAAUGCCUCCAGUUCUUCUUCUUUCACUAAUUUUUUCCUUCCCACAGUUGUUACAUGGUAGAACAGACUUCUAGCAUAGCCAUAUGAAACAAUAUAGUGGAUUCAGCCAAAAUUACAAAUUUGUUUUUCUCCUAUAGCUAGCUGAAUACACAGAAAUGUAAAUUAUUCAGUUACCCUUUUCAAUCAUCAUGUCUUUAUUCAUCUUUGAUAAAUCAAUCAUAUUUUACUUUGAUACCAUCAAUGACACGCUAUUUAUAUUAUCAUAUGUGUAACUAAUUAUCUGAAAACUUUACAUCCACUACAAAAGAAGAACGAGAAGUAAGUCUAAGUUGUUGGUAUGGGAGUUGUUCUGCCACCAAUAGGUAGAAAAGUCCCAUUACUCCAGUGUGCUCCCUGGUGCUGUUGUAGUUAGACUCUAGGGUUAAAGUUUCACCAUCAAUAAUCUUGACAGAACCUGGUUUAGGAUAACAUGUGGACAUUCCUACAAUAUAGGUUGCCUCAUUUCCUGCUUCAUUUCCGGUUCCAUAACUUGGUAUAGAAGAACAUAUAACCCUCCCAUCCUGAAAACAUAAUCCACAAAUAUCACAAAACUAGUAAAUGUAAAAAAUACAGUGGUUACUUCUUGAUCAAAAGUAUAAGAAACACUGAUAGUACUAAAUUGCAAAUAUAUGAUGCUAUUCUCUUCUUUGUUAAACAUUUUCUACCCUUGAUUGAAAACUAUUACAUGAACAAAUAGAGGUGAUUAUAUAUGAUAAAAAAUGUCAAUAUUGUCUCGGUGUCCGACACUACGACACAUCUUUAAUCUCAAGUAUCAAUGCUAUAUUAGGUGUAAAUAUAGAAUCCCUCUUAAGGGGCAGAAUCAUGAUUGAUUAUACCCUUCCAGAUUGUAGUGGGAGACUUGUCCUUUUCACAUGAACACACCCAUUUCCCUCCUAUUGAUCUGUGCUGCAAGAUUCAACUGAUACUCAACCUGAAACAAAGAAAUCUACGUUGCUCGCAAUAUACCUAACAAACUACUGGACUAGUGUUAUAUAUGUUUUAAGAGUUAAACUAAGAUUGAGAAAAACAAACAAUGAGCAUGGAUUCCCUGCAGUCGUGAAACUCUACAUUCAGGCAAUCAUCGCAACAAUCACUGAUUAAUUGACUAACUAAAUGCUGAGUAUAUUCUACUACACGGAAUCUAUUUCCACAAACUAAAUGUUUCUUGAUGAAUGCAUUUACCUUGCAAUCAUGAUCUGAUUUCAUUCCUUUUGAAUCAUCUGAUAGUUUCAAACUACCAGUGACAUCAAUUAUAUAUAUCUUAACGGGCACUAUAAAAUCAUCCCAAUCAACCCACUUUACUGUGCAUCUUAAGUAAAGGCUUCUCUUAGGUCCUUCGAAACCUUCCUUCAACUUGCACCGUGUAGAAUCAUAACAACAUAACAAACCUCCUUUAUAAUCUGGCCUAAUAGAUUUUCCAUACUCAUCCACUGUAACAUUAUAAAGGUCACACUUACAUUCAGUGCACCCUAAUUUAUCCUCUGUGCCACGCGUAUCGAUGGCAUGAACAUUAAGCAACCAUUUCUCCUCAAACCCUUCUGGAAUCUCUUCAGGACUACCUGUCUCUAUACCAAAAGGAUCUGGAAUAUCUGUUGUCGUUCCUCGUGUUUCUGAUCCAAGGCCAAAGUAUUGUGGAAUGGUAUUUCCCUGGCAUAUGCCACUGUUCCUUACAAGAACAUGAUCAUAGUUUUGAAGCAUCAUGUGGCUACCAUCUUCUGUGUGUGUGACAUAUUUUCUUUGAUAAUGUCAUUCAACAAGCCAAUGAUGGAGAUAGGUUUCAUGGAGGGGUAUAGGAUUACCAUCUUCAUCAACAACUUCAGCAUUGAAACUCUUGAGUGCUAUAUGAUCACUUGGAAAAUCAAUAUAAUAAUAAAAUCUAUUGAUAACUGAUCCAGGUCCAAGUUCAAACUUAGGGGACAGAAAAACAGCUGAUUUUAUUUUAUUUUCAGUCUUCUCAAAAGAACUUAAGCAUGGUGUGCCAAACAAUAAUAGAAGUAUUGCUACUGACAAUUCAAAAUCUCUAGGUACAAACCACAUGUUGAUGAUCUGCCAGAAAAAUAUUUACAAGUAAUUAACUAAUUUUUUAUUAAAGAAAUAUUAAACAGAUGCAGAAUCAAGCUUUCAUUAAACAAGGAAGACAAUGUUUGCAAAUUGCACAUGCACAACAAUAUUAAAAAAGGCAAGAUAAACUACACAAAUAUGCAUGAAAAAACAUAGUUUGAACACAAUCAAUACGGAGCAAAAGCAUGCAGAAGAGAAGAUGGAAUGGCUUGAGUUGCGUUCCUCAGAAAGAUAGUUUGGAAAUGGCAGAGUUGAGCUUUGUUUGACGAGAAAACUAGCUACUAUUCGAAGUAUUUUUAUAUAGAAAAUGUACCUGAGACCCACCUCAUCAUCAUCACAUGAUAAUGUUCUUCACAAUCUUUCAUUUCACACUCGGGAAAGCAAUAUCAGAAUUUAUUAUUAGCAUGACUUCUUCAUUCUUUCAUUUUAAUAUAGGUCUAUACUUGUACCGCUCAAAGUAAUGGGAAAGUCUAUGUCAAUGUUUCAUAAAUAAAUUCAAUUGUUGAUAUUAUAUUACAUGUAUUAUAUCACAUGUAUUUCUUAUUAUGGGCUUUGAAAAUAUCAUAUCACAUGUAUUAUAUUAUUUGUUUGUAAAAAAAGUAUUAGUAUAUUAUAUUAUAUUUUUACCUCUUUUUAAUUGCAUUUUCUUUUUAUAUAUAGAGAAAGAAUGAAUGUUUUUAGCUUUUGAUAUAAUUAUAUCUUUUUCUUGUAGUCGUCAAAAAGAAUUUCUUUUUUUCUUUCUAAUAAUGGAAUUGCAUUAACUACUCAAACGGAUGGAAUUUGCACCAAGGGAAUCAUUACAUAUGAGAAUAUCUAACAAAGAUUUCUCUAUUACAGCUAAGUAGAAUGAGCUCGAUAUGCAAGAUGGUUUGCACAUUUAUUUGCAUCGCAGUUAAUAUGAUAUAACUCAAGUGCAUAUUUGGAGUAUGGUGCAAGUACAUGGCAGAUAAGAAAUAUUGGUAUAACCAUGUUGAAUCGUAUUCAUCGCUACUUUGAAAUCAAAUUCAAUUAACACGUGUAUUAGGUGCUGAGAUUGAACAAGUCCAAAGCCGGAAAGAAUUGUCCACGGCUCAGUUGAAAGUUUAUUUGAAGAGGUAAUUUAAAGCAUAAAAUCAUACACAAAUUUACCUUGUUGGUCACGAAUCAAGCCACCACAAGCCAAGCUUCCGACGCUGGUAAAAUAUGAUCCAUCUACAUUGAGUUUGAGUCGUCCAAGAGGAUGGAUCAAAUUAUGCUUCUGAUGUGCAUUGUGGAUUUCCUCUAUAUGUCUUGGGCAGUUGCAACUCAAUUACAAACAAGAUCAUGAACAAGAUUUUUAACUGAAUUUCAUAGCUUAUCUCCCGUAUCUAAUUGAUAAUGUAGAUUUUUACCCUAUUCAUUGUGAAUAUUUUUAUGGGUAUCUAUUAGGUACGAGUCCAAUUGUCAUCCAUAAGAUGUGUUCUAAAGUUACAUGCUAAGAAAUUCAAUUUAGAAUAUAUAAUUAUGAAAGAUAUGUACAUUUAAUUCUUUAAAGUUUACAAAUUUUUCAUUUCAAUACAAAAUUUAUACUUUGUCAAAAAAACAAAAAAAAAAUACAAAAUUUAUACUUUUAUAUUCUUUAAUAUCUAUCUUUAAGGUCCAGUUAACAAGACCCUAAAAUAUAUACAUUUUAUAUAACACUUCCUCUCAUAGAAAGAAAGGGAAAAAAAAAAUCAAGAUCACGACUUUUUAUUCAUUUUUUAAUCUUAAUAUUAUAUUUUAAAUAUUAUUUUAUAUUAAAUAUUUUUAUACUCACUUGUAUGAUGAUUAAAAAUUGGUAUUUGAGGGGAAAAAACAUCUUAAAAUUUAGAAAGAUAAAUAUCUAGUACAAUAAUAUCCUAUUAAAAGAAAGAGUAAUUCACAAUAUAUGUUUAUAUUAAUUUAUUAUGAAUGGCUUCCUGAUUAUUGUCACAAUUGUGCUACAAUUGGUCAUGACAUUGGUCGAUGUAAGUGGUUGCAUAAAAAUCAGAAUGUUUCCAACUAGGUUGCUAAGAAACAAAAAGUUGAAAAUAGAAACUAUAAGGAGAUGCAUUCCAAGCUGGAAAUGAAAAGGUUUGCAAGGGUAAGACAUUAUCUCGUGACGAUACUGUGCAACAUCCUCAGCGGGCUAGACAACAUGAGGCUGCACAAACUUAGCCUCAGAUUGUCUUGCAACAAUUGACUAAUGAUAUUGUGCAACCAACACGAUGUAGCAAAAUUGUUGUAGAUGAGGACCCACUUAUCUUAGAUAUAAUAAGGUCCAAAUAUAUGACAAUUAUUGUGCAUGUGGGAGAUGCUAUUGAGUUGGUGGAAGAGGCAUUUUCUAUAGCUGUUGAAACUCUUCUUGUGCAGCCUGUGCAGGUGAAACACACCUUAGUUCAUGAUUGUGAGAUUGUGAAACAUAACGGGGACCAACAGAGGAAUUCUUUGUGUAUCAAUGUCCCUUGGUGUGAUGCGGCGACCAAUAUGGACUACAGUCAGGAUCACACACGAAGUGAAUUUGAGCAGGAAUUGGGAACUGAUAGUUCCAUAGUUGUGACAGACUCUAACUUGUCAAACUUUAGUGCUAAUGUAAUUCAUGAAAUGCAAGUUUUAAGGGCUUAUUCCUACCGUAACCCAACAAGCUAUGGAUUUUCUAAGUGAUUCCUCGUUUAACAUGGGUCAGAAAGAAGAUACUGUUGAUUUGACAGGAAACACAAGUCAGCCAUUUCAAUUGGUGGAACAUAGAAAGAGGGAGAACAAGACGCAGCAGCCUCAUACGAGCAAAGGGUUCAAGAUGGGUGAUUCCAGCUGUUCGCAUCGCUAGUUCUUUGAUGGGAGUUCACUUUCAUACUUUUUAGGCCUUUUAACUGUUUUAGUUCUUUUUCCGCUUUUGUUUUUCUAGAGGGUUUUGGUUUAAUCACCCUUCCCUCUUUAUACUUUCUUUCUUUAUUUUAAUCUAUGAUCAGGAUUCUGCAGUAGGUGAUCCCUCUGCACCUCAUAUAGUAUAUUGUCGCUUUAUAUGCUGGGUCAGCCAUAUGAACCAAAAAAUAGUGAAUUAAGCCAAAAAUACAAAUUUGUUUUUCUCCUAUAUCUAGCAGAAUACACAGAGAAGUGUAAUUAUUCAGUUACCCUUUCCAAUCAUGUCUUUAUUCAUCUUUGAUAAAUCGAUCAUAUCUUACCAUAAUACCAUCAAUGACACGCCACUUAUAUCAUCAUAUAUGUAACUAACUAUCAGAAAAAUUUACGUCGGCGACAAAAGAAGAACGAGAAAAAAGUCUGAGUUGUUGAUAUGGGAGCUGUUCUGCCACCAAUAUGUAGAAAAGCCCCAUUACUCCGGUGUGCUCCUUGGUGCUGUUGUAGUUAGACUCUAGAGUCAAAGUUUCACCAUCAAUUAUCUUAACAGAACCUGGUUUAGGAUAACAUGUGGACAUUCCUACAAUGUAGCCUGAUUCAUUUCCUGCUUCACUUCCCUUUCCGUAAUUUGGUAUAGAAGAACAUAUAACCCUCCCAUCCUGAAAACAUAAUCCACAAAUUUCACAAAAC